UUGGCUAUGAUGAUGCUUCCACCAUUGUCUGAAAUGGUUUUGGGUUGGUAUGUUGCUCAUUAGUUUUGGGUUCUAAUCCAAAAAUG